rnacentral:rRNA from 1 species
GACAGAGGUGCCGAGCGUUAGGCGGAAUCACUGGGCUUAAAGCGUGUGUAGGCGGACCGUUAAGUACCUUGUGAAAUCCCACGGCUCACCCGUGGAACGGCUGGGUAGACUGGCGGUCUUGGGCCACCUAGGGGCAGAUGGAACAGACGGUGGAGCGGUGAAAUGCGUAGAUAUCGUCUGGAACGCCGAUGGUGAAAACAGUCUGCUGGGGGUGUGCCGACGCUGAGACACGAAAGCCAGGGGAGCGAACGGG